ACCCUCUCAGGAUCACAUCUGGAGAGUUUCCAGUACUCUACCAGUCUCAGCUGAGGGAGGGAGAGUCAAGCAGAGGCUUACCCCAUUCCAUUCCUAGCUUGGCCAGUGGCAAGCAAAUGGAAGACACUCUGCUACAAGU